GAGUACGGUCGCAAGAUUAAAACUCAAAGGAAUUGACGGGGACCCGCACAAGCGGUGGAUGAUGUGGAUUAAUUCGAUGCAACGCGAAAAACCUUACCUACCCUUGACAUGGUCGGAAUCCUGCAGAGAUGCGGGAGUGCUCGAAAGAGAACCGGCACACAGGUGCUGCAUGGCUGUCGUCAGCUCGUGUCGUGAGAUGUUGGGUUAAGUCCCGCAACGAGCGCAACCCUUGUCAUUAGUUGCUACGAAAGGGCACUCUAAUGAGACUGCCGGUGACAAACCGGAGGAAGGUGGGGAUGACGUCAAGUCCUCAUGGCCCUUAUGGGUAGGGCUUCACACGUCAUACAAUGGUCGGUACAGAGGGCUGCCAACCCGCAAGGGGGAGCCAAUCCCUUAAAACCGAUCGUAGUCCGGAUUGAGGUCUGCAACUCGACCUCAUGAAGUCGGAAUCGCUAGUAAUCGCGGAUCAGCAUGUCGCGGUGAAUACGUUCCCGGGUCUUGUACACACCGCCCGUCACACCAUGGGAGCGGGUUUUACCAGAAGUAGCUAGCCUAACCGCAAGGAGGGCGGUUACCACGGUAGGAUUCGUGACUGGGGUG
rnacentral:rRNA from 1 species